rnacentral:rRNA from 1 species
CCUACGGGGGGCAGCAGUGAGGAAUAUUGGUCAAUGGGCGCGAGCCUGAACCAGCCAAGUAGCGUGAAGGAUGAAUGCCCUACGGGUUGUAAACAUCUUUUAUAAAGGAAUAAAGUGAGGCACGUGUGCCUUUUUGUAUGUACUUUAUGAAUAGGGAUCGGCUAACUCCGUGCCAUCAGCCGCGGUAAGACGGAGGAUCCGAGCGUUAUCCGGAUUUAUUGGGUUUAAAGGGAGCGUAGGUGGGUUGUUAAGUCAGUUGUGAAAGUUUGUGGCUCAACCGUAAAACUGCAAUUGAUACUGGCAGCCUUGAGUACAGUAGAGGUAGGCGGAAUUCGUGGUGUAGCGGUGAAAUGCUGAGAGAUCACGAAGAAUUCCGAUUGCGAAGGCAGCCUCCUAAACGGCCACUGACAUUGAUGCUCGAAAGUGUGGGUAUCAAACAGGAUUAGAUACCCGUGUAGUC